CAGUCGCCGCGGUAAUACGUAGGUCCCGAGCGUUGUCCGGAUUUAUUGGGCGUAAAGCGAGCGCAGGCGGUUAGAUAAGUCUGAAGUUAAAGGCUGUGGCUUAACCAUAGUACGCUUUGGAAACUGUUUAACUUGAGUGCAAGAGGGGAGAGUGGAAUUCCAUGUGUAGCGGUGAAAUGCGUAGAUAUAUGGAGGAACACCGGUGGCGAAAGCGGCUCUCUGGCCUGUAACUGACGCUGAGGCUCGAAAGCGUGGGGAGCAAACAGGAUUAGAUACCCCCGUAGUCCCUGUCUCUUAUACA
rnacentral:rRNA from 1 species